UACGUAGGUGGCAAGCGUUAUCCGGAUUUAUUGGGUGUAAAGGGCGUGUAGGCGGGAGCGCAAGUCAGAUGUGAAAACUCAGGGCUCAACCCUGAGCCUGCAUUUGAAACUGUGUUUCUUGAGUGCUGGAGAGGCAAUCGGAAUUCCGUGUGUAGCGGUGAAAUGCGUAGAUAUACGGAGGAACACCAGUGGCGAAGGCGGAUUGCUGGACAGUAACUGACGCUGAGGCGCGAAAGCGUGGGGAGCAAACGGG
rnacentral:rRNA from 1 species